ACCCCGUUUGAUCCAGAUUUAUUAAUUUACUAACAUAUUUACCCAAUCUUCUCGCUAGGGUCUUCGCUAAUAUUUUCUGAUCUGUAUAUAACAAUGCUAUGGCUCUAUAUGAACCAGGUUCUUCUAGAUCUUUAUCUUUUUUAGGUAUAAGUAUAAUAGUUGAUUCGGCUAGUGUUUCUGGUAAUUAAUUUUGUUUAAAA